GCAAACUUGGUCAUUUAGAGGAAGUACAAGUCGUAACAAGGUUUCCGUAGGUGAACCUGCGGAAGGAUCAUUAACAAAUCUGGAUGGGGGCGGGUGCGAAUCUCUGAUUCAUGUCCGACUCCACCAAAUAAGUGCUCCGGGUUUACUCGGCUGCAUCAAUAAUAUAUAUUCAUGAUUUUGUGAUUAGUGUAUAUCAAUCAUAAUGAAAAACACUUUUAACAAUGGAUCUCUUGGCUCUUGCAUCGAUGAAGAACGCAGC
rnacentral:misc_RNA from 1 species